GGAGAUUCAGGGGCGAGAAAUUCUGAACAAAAUCAGAAUAAACUGGAAAAAGGCCAAUUAAAAUUCUUAAUAAAAUAGUACCGGAAUACAACACUGCUUGGAAUUCAGGUCUUGAACCAUUAACACGAAAGCUCAGAGGCAGUCACCCUGGCUGCUCAGGGACAUCAGAGCCCUUCAAGACUCGGGUGCUGCCACGUCCGUGUGGCCCUCGCGGUUCCGGGGCAGCGCGUGGGUCCGACGCAGAACAGGAGUGAGUAAAAACUGCUGAGCGCCGCCCCAAAGACGAGGUUCCACCGAGACUCGAACUCGGAUUCACGCUGGAUUCAGAGUCCAGAGUGCUCGCCAUCACACCAUGGAACCACCGGGGACCCUUCAGCUGGGAUCACUGAAUUCAGAGGCCAGAGUGCUCACCAUAACGCAGACCCUCCCGCAGCCCGUCCCUGCCAGCAGUUGAGCCAGGCGCGCGCAGCCCCGCCGGCCCAGGACCCGCUUCCCGCCGGGCGCGCUCCUCAGCCGCGCGCAGCCCGCGUCCUCCGCGACGCCAGGGGGCGCCGGCCUUGCCUGCCCUCGGCCUCCCUGCAGGUUAGUACGUCCAGGAGGACAUGAAAUCCACUGGGGUCAGCGACAGGGCAGGGCUUUCAGGCCUCCCCCAAGUCCACCUGCUCUGCCAGCAUUUGUGGAGUGUUCUACGCUGAGGAGUUCUACUUCAGCGCAGGAAACUCUACAAAUGCUGGCAGAACAGAGGGUUUGGGGUGGGCCCUGCCCUGUCGCUGACCUCAACGGAUUUUAUCGUCCUCUGGUACAAACCUGCCCGGAGGCCGCGGGCAGGCGAGUCCGGAGCCUCCUGGCGUCGAGGCGGAAGCGGGCUGGGGGCUGCGGGCUCUCUUGGACGCGAAAAGCCACCGUUAGGCGAAGAUUUGAGCCUUGACUCCAGGAAAUCCUGUCCUUUUGUUCCAAGCUCAGCCAGAAAGAGGAGCCUGGGCCACAGAGUCAAGCGUCUAUGGAGACCAGGGGUCCCUGGUUCACCUCUACCCAGGCUUUUGAGACAUUUUGCAGGUCUUACAACCAAGGCUGGACUGUAUUGGAUAUACCUGGUUUGGUUAGAUUUGAAUUGGAAGCCACAUUCAUUUUUUUAAUCAAAAAAUUAAAUGUUAUUUAGUCAUAAAAUUAAAUUUUAAAAAUCCCCUCUAAAGAUUGAAACCACAAUGUAAAAACGAACAUGGGUGUCCUGUUUAUGGAACGACCGGAUGGAUAAGUCGUAAAGCAACUAAAACACAAUAAUAUGCUUUCCCCUAUUCUGUUGUUAGUGGCAUUGUUGCUAUUUCAUUAUUCUUUUGUCCACGUAAUGUGGGAAAAAGCAUAAGAGACUAUAGAGUGCUGUAUUCCUCUUACUCCCAGGGUCCUUAAAAACGAAAAUCCUGGUAUUAGAGAAGAGAGAUGCAGAUGAAAUAUAGAUUUCCAUUAAAAAAAAAAAACCCUUAGUUCUAAAUCUGAAUUGUUCAUGCUUGUGACUAUACGUGAAUACAUGAGUCCAUGCAAAUAUGAGUAUGUAUUUCCUAGUUGUGGCCACUGGAAAGCCUAGAAAUAAACCAAUUUCAGUGAGUAUCUCUAGGUUACA
rnacentral:tRNA from 1 species